UACGGGGGGAGCAAGCGUUGUUCGGAAUCACUGGGCGUAAAGGGCGUGUAGGCGGUCAAGUAAGUGGGAUGUGAAAUCCCUCGGCUCACCCGAGGACCUGCAUCCCAAACUGCUUGGCUUGAGUAUGGGAGAGGAUGAGGGAAUUCCUGGUGUAGCGGUGAAAUGCGUAGAUAUCAGGAGGAACACCGGUGGUGUAGACGGCUUUCUGGACCGUAACUGACGCUGAGACACGAAAGCGUGGGUAGCAAACAGG
rnacentral:rRNA from 1 species